rnacentral:rRNA from 1 species
GCCUGCCCACUGAGGAUUUAACGGCCGCGGUAUCAUGACCGUGCGAAGGUAGCAUAAUCAUUAGUCUCUUAAUUGGGGGCUGGAAUGAAUGGUUGGACGAGAAAUUAGCUGUCUUAGUUUUGAAAAUUGAAUUUAACUUUUAAGUGAGAAGGCUUAAAUGGGCUAGAGGGACGAUAAGACCCUAUAAAGUUUGUACAUUAAACUAAUUAAAGGUGGUUUAGGUUUAUAAAAUCUGCCAUUAGGGAAGUGUUUAGUUGGGGCGAUUGGGAUAUAAGUUAUCUAACUGUUUCUUUGUUUUAAUCAAAAAUAUUUGAGUUUAUGAUCCUUUUUUAGGAUUAAAGAGUAAAUUACUUUAGGGAUAACAGCGUAAUUUUUUUUGAGAGUUCUUAUCGAUAAGAGAGUUUGCGACCUCGAUGUUGAAUUAAAAUUUCUUUGUGGUGCAGCAGCUACAAAAGAAGGUCUGUUCGACCUUUAAAUUUUUACAUGAUUUGAGUU